GGUUUCUUGAAUGAAUAAGAGAUUGAACCUGCCCACUGAAUGAUUUAAAGGGCCGCAGUAUAUUGACUGUGCGAAGGUAGCAUAAUCAUUAGAUUUUUAAUUGAAAUCUGGAAUGAAUGGUUUGAUGAAAUUUUAACUGUCUCUGUUAAAUAAAUUGAAGUUAGCUUUUUAGUAAAAAGGCUGAAAUUAUAUUAAGGGACGAGAAGACCCUAUAGAGUUUAAUUGAUAAAAGAUUUAAUUAAUAAAGGAAGAAAAAGAAAAUGAAUUUUUUAUAAAUUUUGUUGGGGUGAUGAGAGGAUAAUAGGAACUCCUCUAAUUUUAAACAUUGAUGAAUGGAAUGAUGAGCUUUUAUUAAAACUUAUAAGAUUAAAUUACCUUAGGGAUAACAGCGUAAUUUUAUUUGAGAGUUCAAAUCGAUUAUAAAGUUUGCGACCUCGAUGUUGGAUUAGAAUAUAAUUUAGGUGAAGGUGCUUAAUAUUUUGGUCUGUUCGACCAAUAAAAUUCUACA
rnacentral:rRNA from 1 species